rnacentral:rRNA from 1 species
AACGAACGCUGGCGGCAGGCUUAACACAUGCAAGUCGAACGCCCCGCAAGGGGAGUGGCAGACGGGUGAGUAACGCGUGGGAAUCUUCCCAGCUCUACGGAAUAACUCAGGGAAACUUGUGCUAAUACCGUAUACGUCCGAGAGGAGAAAGAUUUAUCGGAGUUGGAUGAGCCCGCGUUGGAUUAGCUAGUUGGUAGGGUAAUGGCCUACCAAGGCGACGAUCCAUAGCUGGUCUGAGAGGAUGAUCAGCCACACUGGGACUGAGACACGGCCCAGACUCCUACGGGAGGCGGCAGUGGGGAAUAUUGGACAAUGGGCGAAAGCCUGAUCCAGCCAUGCCGCGUGAGUGAUGAAGGCCCUAGGGUUGUAAAGCUCUUUCACCGGUGAAGAUAAUGACGGUAACCGGAGAAGAAGCCCCGGCUAACUUCGUGCCAGCCGCCGCCGUAA